CGUGAGGAGGGUGUGAGGCAGGAGCAGGGCAUCAGCAGAACUUCCUGCCAGCACCACUCCAAGGCAAGGGAGCCUCCUCUCAAGAGCUGUGGCCAAGUGGCCGAGGACACUCACAAGACCUCUGGCCAAACCGCCAAGCAUUUUCACAAGACCUCUGGCCAAGUGACUCAGGCUCCUCAGGAAUCUCACGUUAUGAGCACACACAGCUCUCUGAAGCCUCUUGUGCACACCAAGGAGGCCUUGCCCAGGAAGACAGUGGGUAUCAAAAGGCCCAGCAAGCCCCUGGUGCAUGACAAAUGGAAAAAAGUCCUGAAACUGGAGAGUGAGCCUGGUCCUUUGGAGGUCAGAGACCAGUCUUGCAAGCGCCAGCCCCGAGUCAAGAAAACAGAGGAGCCAAAAUCCACCACUAAAAAAGCCCUGCAGCCGGCACUUCACAAGCCCUCUGAGGAGAGAAAGGACAAGGGCUCCCAGCAGACCAAGGCCAAAGGCUUUUUGGAUGCCAGGCUCCUGAGACAUGCUCAGGAAUGUGAUGCCCUCAUCCCCAGUAGCCACAGGCCUGGGGAAUGGCACAGGGAGAAAGUGCCCUUGCCUCCUGGGGAGAAGAAGUUGUUCUUGCCUUCAAGGAAGGCAGACUUGAUGAGGAAAGCCAUGAGGAGUCCUGAGGAGUCCCCUGGAAAGAAGAAAGUGAGAGGGGCCAGGGCAAGUGGGUUUGGACAAUGAGCAAGAUGGUGCUUGAAAAACCCAUGUGGAGUUUCCCCUUCAUAGGUUGGCAGUGGAGCCAUGAUGCUUCUCUUCUCAAAGGAGUUCCAGUGUGUUAUUUUUAAUGUUUUCAGCCAGAAUCUAUCAAAGUGAGCUGUAUUGGUCUGUACUUUAGGUGAACUUCUAAGACCUGAGUCAAUUUUUUCCCUUUUUUUAUUCUUCCUACUAGAAGGAAGACAAAGGGGACACUCCCAGGAAGAAAAAGGAAUGAGACAAAACAUUCCCAACCAAAUACUUUCAGCUUCCAGCCAACAAAGGCUCCAAUCAAGUGAAAGCCUCAGAAGACUCAUUCCAAACUGAGAGGGCAAAUGUGUUGCUGCCACCACUGCCAGCCAUGACUGCUGCACAACUGGAAGCAAAGUUCACCAUGACCAUGCAAAAGAGACCCAGAGCUGUGACUGACAACCUGGAGCUGCCUGCCGUGGAUAACCCUGCGAGGAAGCAGGAUGGAUUCUUAGCCAAGCACAGGAAAGUGGAGGAAGACCCCGAGGAGCAAACCCAGGCCAUCACCAUUGGUAUCCAGGAGGGCUGGUGGGAGUAUUCCUGCAACCCAGGCGUGCUGUGUGAUGCACUGCAGAAACAUCCUCUCAGAUAAGUCACCAUUUCUGACUGUAGGCAACUGCAACGUAAAUGAGUGUGUGUACAAAAAGGAGUGUGUUUAUAAAAAGAAAAGGACUGCAGCCUGGGCCUUCGAUUUUAUAUCAUGUAGAGAAAAUUAUUGCAUUUAUAGGUUAAAAAUUAGAUUUUCCUGGCUGUUUAUAAAAAAUUUGGCAGUUUAAUGAUGGCUCGGGGUGUGGGGUCUAUGAUAUUUGGGGGUGAGGGAGUAUGUGUCAGUGUUCUAUCUUAGGCCAGACUGUGCACAGUGCAUUAGCUGCCUUCUAACUGCUUGCUUUUUCCUGAUCAUUUUCCUGCUUCCAGCCCUCACUGCACUCCCAGCUAUUGAGCAAGAAAAUCUGCUGCUGAAUUUCUCUGUGCUUGGGAAAAGUUGAAUGGUGCAAAGCAUUGUGAGCUGCCAGGGAUCUGCAGGGCAUGAGAAGAAUCCUUUUCCAGUGCCUUCUGUGCCACAUGAAGCCAAGACAAGAAGACCUGAAGUUAGGACAAGUUUGCUGCUGAACAAAGCCAAGUGAGGGGACCAAGAGCCGGCCUGACCUCACAUAGAGAAUGAUUCAGAACUUUCAGUGACCAAGUGCCUUAACUGGGUCUCCAGGAUGUAAAUAGUUCCAAGUUCUCUAGUCUAUGGAAACCUUACAAACACUUUUGUUUUAUUUACUGUUCAAUGCAAAACACCUGAUUUUUUUUGUUUGUUUGUUUGUUUUGUUUUGUUUUAAAUACAGUUUUAUGUUCUUUUGGUUACUUUUGGACAUCCUUGUGGUUUUUGAGGGUAAUGUUUUUCUAUCUUGCAAAAGAAGAGAUGGGCUGUGGUAUCAGCCAUUAAGAUAAAACUGUGGAGAGAAGGAUGGUGUAAUAUUCACUAUUAAAAAACUGGUGGUUAAGGAAAUAAAAUAAAAAACCCCACAGCAUUAUGUGUACUAAAACCAGUGGCCAAAAAGGCAGUGAUCAGACAAAAUGAUAGAGAUUCAAACAGGAAGGCAGCUGUCCCCAGAAAUGUCAUACCAGGGGAUUUCUCUCCUCUGACAGGAGGCAUUUUGGUAAUCAUCACCAGCAACCACAAAUAAAGUGAUAGAAAUUCAAACAUCAGGGAGACACUGUCUCCAGAGACAUAUAUUCCAGUGUAUAUUCCAAGAGAUUUUUCCUUUGACCAGAUUCCAGCAGGAGGUAUAUUGAUAAGCAUCAUCAGAAGUUUUCCCCAGAAAGCCUUUUACCUCACAGCAUUCCAGGAAUUAUCCACCAGUUCCAGAAACCGUGAUAAUAUGCUAAAGAAGAAACCCUUCCAGGGCACAAAGAACUGUAUAAAAGGGACCCUCUGAGAAAUGCUCUUUGGAAACCCAUGGGACUUUGGUGCAAA